UCAUCCUUCAGAUUGCUUCAAUAUCCAUCUCAUGUUGUCCGCUUGGUUUCCGAUAUUUCUCUGAUGCACCAAUAACAUCUCAACGGAGAACUUCAGUGGUUCUUCCAGCUUUGAUGAAAUCGAAGAGAAAACUAGAGAAGAACGAUUUAGGUGAAGAUUGAAGGUGUGGAUUUGUUGUUGAGGAUGGUGCUGCUUUACAGCUUGAAGCGGUUCCGAGAAUAUGAAGAUGCAGAAGAUUGAAUAUGCAGAGAUGAUAAAGCAAUAAAGAGGUUGAAUGAUGUGUAGUAGAUUGAUGUGCAU